CAGCAAUGGAGAGUGGCAGACGGGUGAGUAACGCGUGGGAACCUACCCUUUGGUUCGGAAUAGCCCAGGGAAACUUGGGGUAAUACCGGAUAAGCCCUUCGGGGGAAAGAUUUAUCGCCAUAGGAUGGGCCCGCGUCGGAUUAGCUAGUUGGUGGGGUAACGGCCUACCAAGGCUACGAUCCGUAGCUGGUCUGAGAGGAUGAUCAGCCACACUGGGACUGAGACACGGCCCAGACUCCUACGGGAGGCAGCAGUGGGGAAUAUUGGACAAUGGGCGCAAGCCUGAUCCAGCCAUGCCGCGUGAGUGACGAAGGUCUUCGGA
rnacentral:rRNA from 1 species